AUUGAACGCUGGCGGCAGGCCUAACACAUGCAAGUCGAACGAGUGGCGGACGGGUGAGUAAUUUCUGGGAAACUGCCCGAUGGAGGGGGUUAACUACUGGAAACGGUAGCUAAUACCGCAUACCAUCGGAUGUGCCCAGAUGGGAUUAGCUAGUAGGUGGGGUAACGGCUCACCUAGGCGACGAUCCCUAGCUGGUCUGAGAGGAUGACCCGGCACACGGCAACUGGGACACGGUGCAGCCGCCGAGGGGCGGAAGCCGUGGAGAAUAUUGGGAGAUGGGGCAAAGCGUGAUGUAGCCAUGCAGCGUGUAUGAAGAGGGCCUGAGGGUUGUAGAGUAGUUUAAGUGAGGAGGCGUUACUCGCAGAAGAAGCACCGGCUAAAUCCGUGCCAGCAGCCGCGGUAAUAC
rnacentral:rRNA from 1 species